AUCUGACCUCAAAUCAGGUAGGACUACCCGCU
rnacentral:rRNA from 1 species